rnacentral:rRNA from 2 species
AACUUUCAACGAUGGAUGUCUUGAGUCACGCAACGAUGAAGAACGCAGCGAAAUGCGAUACGUAAUGUGAAUUGCAAAACUCCGUGAUCAUCAAAAUUUUGAACGCACAUUGCGCUUCUAGGAUUUGCCUAGGAGCAUGCCUGUUUGAGUGUUCGUGA